rnacentral:rRNA from 1 species
UACGGGGGGGGUAAGCGUUGUUCGGAAUUACUGGGCGUAAAGGGCUCGUAGGCGGCCAACUAAGUCAUACGUGAAAUCCCUCAGCUUAACUGGGGAACUGCGUGUGAUACUGGAUGGCUUGGAUUUGGGAGAGGGAUGCGGAAUUCCCGGUGUAGCGGUGAAAUGCGCAGAUAUCGGGAAGAACACCCGUGGCGAAGGCGGCUCUCUGGGACGGUACUGACGCUGAGGAGCGAAAGCGUGGGGAGCAAACAGG